rnacentral:rRNA from 1 species
CCUACGGGAGGCAGUAGUGAGGAAUAUUGGUCAAUGGGCGGAAGCCUGAACCAGCCAAGUAGCGUGCAGGAUGACGGCCCUACGGGUUGUAAACUGCUUUUAUACGGGAAUAACGCGCCUUACGUGUAGGUCUUUGCAUGUACCGUACGAAUAAGGACCGGCUAACUCCGUGCCAGCAGCCGCGGUAAUACGGAGGAUCCGAGCGUUAUCCGGAUUUAUUGGGGUUAAAGGGAGCGUAGGUGGAUUGUUAAGUCAGUUGUGAAAGUCUGCGGCUCAACCGUAAAAUUGCAGUUGAAACUGGUAGUCUUGAGUACAGUAGAGGUGGGCGGAAUUCGUGGUGUAGCGGUGAAAUGCUUAGAUAUCACGAAGAACUCCGAUUGCGAAGGCAGCUCACUGGACUGCAACUGACACUGAGGCUCGAAAGUGUGGGGAUCAAACAGGAUUAGAUACCCGAGUAGUC